AGCUUUGAGCAGUGGCGAUAUUGUAAACAUUGAGGUUCCACCGAAGUGCGAUUAAAGCUAGUUGAAAUUAUAAAACCAAUUUUAAUCAUCAGGAGCUUAAAAUCUUAUGAACCUUUCCUUUCAAGGCAUAUGAAA